CGCCUUCAUCGUCCACAUGAAAAAAAAACAAAUACAAGCCGGAGAAAAAUAUGGAAGUGCAGUCUUGAAGUGAAAGAGACAAAAAAGCCCUGAAAACUUCAGAAGUGAUGACUAUCUUUAAUUAUUGGCUAACAGGUGAUUUCAGUUUCAUGUACUCUUCAAAACCAUUUCCCUAUUGGGAUGCAUGGACCACAGGAGUUGCAACUGAAUUGUUUGGAAAGAAAGAAACUGUAACAGAACAAUUGUUUCAGCUGUUCAGGAUGCAUUUCAGUGCAAUACAGUGGAUUGGCAGACUCUGACCAUAUGCCUAGG